rnacentral:rRNA from 1 species
UACGAAGGGGGCUAGCGUUGUUCGGAUUUACUGGGCGUAAAGCGCACGUAGGCGGGUCAUUAAGUCAGGGGUGAAAUCCCGGAGCUCAACUCCGGAACUGCCUUUGAUACUGGCGACCUUGAGGCUGGAAGAGGUUAGUGGAAUUCCCAGUGUAGAGGUGAAAUUCGUAGAUAUUGGGAAGAACACCAGUGGCGAAGGCGGCUAACUGGUCCAGAUCUGACGCUGAGGUGCGAAAGCGUGGGGAGCAAACAGG